rnacentral:rRNA from 1 species
AACGAACGCUGGCGGCAGGCUUAACACAUGCAAGUCGAACGCUCGUAGCAAUACGGGAGUGGCGGACAGGUGAGUAACGCGUGGGAACGUGCCCUGAGGUACGGAAUAACUGAGGGAAACUUCAGCUAAUACCGUAUGAGCCCCCGAGAGGGGGAAAGAUUUAUCGCCUUGGGAGCGGCCCGCGUCGGAUUAGCUAGUUGGUGGGGUAACGGCCUACCAAGGCUUCGAUCCGUAGCUGGUCUGAGAGGACGAUCAGCCACACUGGGACUGAGACACGGCCCAGACUCCUACGGGAGGCAGCAGUGGGGAAUCUCGCGCAAUGGGGGCAACCCUGACGCAGCCAUGCCGCGUGAACGAUGAAGGCCUUAGGGUUGUAAAGUUCUUUUACCCGUGACGAUGAUGACGGUAACGGGGGAAUAAGCUCGGCUAACUUCGUGCCAGCAGCCGCGGUAAAGUAUCG